rnacentral:lncRNA from 1 species
AGCAAUAGCAGCUAUCAUCUUUCCACCUCGUUAACUUAUGCCGUACGAAGCGCGUUUUUCGACUACCGUAUCUUGAGGACUUUCGCAUAAGGCAAAUGAAUGGGACAUAUCGAGUGCAGAAUGGGGAUUCAGGUAGCUUGGGCACAUACACACAAACGGCUAAGACUGACGGAGAGAGGCAAAGUAGAAGAAGAGACGGAUUGAAAGACGGGAAGUUUUUGGCGAUUCAGUGAGAUUUUAAAUGGAUAAAAAAGACAGCACAUGGAAAAUUAACGCGAGAGAAGAGACUUGGGUGCGUUUCUGAUGUUGCACGAAGCAUGGCUAUGAAGUGCAAGCAAUUAACAAGCCAACGAACGAUUAACGGGGUUUGAGUUUUUGUCAGUUGAGCUAAAUUGAUCUUCAAUUCAUCCGUCAAAUAACAAUUCAAAUAGGUAGCCGGUGCUAAUCUGGCAUCCCCUUUUCUUCCAGGUGUUAACGAAGGUACCGAAAUGUAAGUACCGAGGGUAUCACAGACACGGAUGCUUCUAGAUAAAGCUUUGCUUAGGAACUGAUAUGGCUGACCCGCAAGUAAAUAAGGCUAAACACCAACUAGCACGGAUUAGACGAAGCAGUUAACAAGAUUCGUUGCAAUUGUAUACAGUAAAGAUAUCAAGCAAUAUGCCGUUGGUUUGGUUGCGUUUUUCGCGUCGCUAGUGAAUGCGAGCAAACCGUUUGGAAAAGGAAUUGGGACAGAUGGUUAAACAUUAGGAUACUACACGAAAUUGAAUAACUUUUGUUUUACUUUUUUCUAUACUGCUACAUGUUUGAUUUAUGAGCGUUCACUCUUUUCUUACAUAGACGAGACGCGUUCUUGGUAAGGUCAAUGCGCUCGUGUCGAAAUGUUUAUACCAGCUGAGUUCCCUUAUGUCUGGCGUGCACGUGUAAUAAAAUAAUUGUAAAAUGUAUUUUAAUUAUUUUUUAUUCAAAUUAGUGUAUUAUUAAAGAUUGUAUGCAAUUAAGUGUAGAACAAUUGAAUCUCAUCCGUGUUUCGUGUCUUCCUCUACAUGAGCAACGUGCCUAGGGCGAAUUUAGCUACACACUAGCAAUGGCUCUAACAUAUUAACAUCUCUUACUACACUAUGGUUCACUGGUUUUAACCUUACAACAAGCUCUAACCCAACUGUAACUUAUAACCUUACAAUGGCUCUAACCUGACAGUAGCUUGUAACCUAAUAGCGGCUCGUGAACCUACCAUAACUAGUGUGCUUUGUUACAAAUCGGUGAAUAAAGUAAUUUUACUAUUACCGUUUAGGAACAUACUCAUACAACUGCUCUUCGGCGUUAAUAUUGCGGUCCGACACGUUGGUUAAUAAAACUAUCUCCUCCGGGAUUUCCUUGCUGUAGCCAUUACGAUAUGCGACGUUGAUUCACAAGAUGUUGCAUUAUAGCAUCCUGACUUGAACCACCUGCAAAAAUUUUUUUCAUUCUUAGGCGUUUGUUUAUUUACUCACCACCCACAGGUGAUAAUUUGCUAUUCACGUUGCACUGCUUUACUUACCGAACGGAUCAAUUCCACAUAGCGAGAGAUAUCGUAAACGGCAAACAAUGUCUGAAUUUUCAUAUGAGUUAUUCCACAUUGUCAGCUCUAUCUACUUUGAUGGAUCACAAGUUUUCCCGGAUUUUAGGGUUGCUCAAUAAGCUAACAUCGGUUUCGGCCCAUGAAUGAUGUCCAGCGCAUGGUUUCUCGUUUGUGUCGCAACACCUAGUCCUGAAGUAGCUGAGUGAGUGUAUAAGGUACAGAAAUGAAAUGAAGUCGUGAGAUGAAUACACAAUCAUGAGACAUACUUGGCGCCACGUUGAGUAAUUGAAAUGAUUGAACCUUUUUUGACGGUUGGUUGAGCAGAUUGAUUAUUGAGGUUUUAUUUAUUAGGAUUCAUUAUGUAGCGCACAGGAUCAAAUACUAGGUUGUGCAAUACUACUCGACAUUGCCUCAAUUCAUUACUUUCGCUAGCCAAAAAAACAAUACGGGCUAAUUGGAAGUUAAACGUGCCAUAAAUUUCGUCCUUGUUGAAAUACUGACGUUUUCAAAGUUACGCAUAGCUUGUCUUUGAUUCCUUAUAUACAACAUUGUGCAGUUUCUGUUGAAUGUAGUGAAACCAAGCGAUGAAUAAGCUCAAAACAUGAAAAUUUUUCGUUUCAUUUUUUUUUGACAGGACCGUAUCAGUGUCGCAGUAAAAUGGGAUCCUAAGUAUGCAAAAACAAGCAGUUAGUUAGACAAUUUAUGGUUGCGUAUUGCUGCUACCUUCGCAAUCGGCACAAUAUUCAAGCAAUUUGAAAGCGACUGAAUGCCCGAAUUUCAUUGGCUAUAUGAUGAAAAGCGAAAAUCCUACUUUGACGAACUAUAAAGUAUAAUAUUCAGCGGCAAUGUUGUAUUAAACAGUAGAAAGGUUUAUUAAAGGUUUAUUAAAUGUUUAUUUACUCAAUUGAUCAUUGUUGAAAUUUGCUUUUGAAAAUCAUUGGCGUAGAUUCUCGUGUCGAUGAAAUGUAUCCCUAACAAACGCAAAAACGUUUUUUCAAUGCCUAGAAAUUGAAGUCGUUGAACUACUACUACAGCAAAAUGCCAAAUCUGUUUACUUAACUGAUUAAAAGUGAAACGAUACUGAAUACUUUUGAUUUUUCAAAUAAAUUUGGUAGCAUAUGAUCGGUUUCUUGUUCUUUUUCUUUAAAAAUUGGAAAUCUAAAUGCAAACGAAGUAAUAUUAAUAGUGGUAAAAAUAUUAAUAGGUAUGGAACUUGCUAUUUUAUAAGGCUGCUUUAUUACUUGAAUCCAUCAAACUUCUCACUUCACUGAACAGUUUUGCCAUGCUCUCACGAAAACUCCUAAAUUACCAAACCUGUUUUUUAUAUAAACACGCGAAUUGCUGGAUUUGGAUCCUAUCAGCUUCAAGUACUUAAUUCAUCAGCGUUCAAACCCUCUUGUAUUAACAGUCUACCAUUUUUAUUCAUCAAAUAUUUCUCGCUUUAUUUCCAUAUAUUAUGUUAUGAAUAUUUAUCGAUUGUCAGCGA